GAUGAAGAACGUAGCGAAAUGCGAUACUUGGUGUGAAUUGCAGAAUCCCGUGAACCAUCGAGUCUUUGAACGCAAGUUGCGCCCGAAGCCAUUAGGCCGAGGGCACGCCUGCCUGGGCGUCACACGUCGUUGCCCCCCCAUCUACUCCUUCGGGAUUGCGGGGGGCGGAUGAUGGCCUCCCGUGCGCCUCGCCGCGCGGUUGGCAUAAAUGCCAAGUCCUCGGCGACGCACGCCACGACAAUCGGUGGUUGCGAAACCUCGGUUGCCCGUCGUGUGCGGUCGUCGCGCAUCGAGGGCUCGAAAAAAGUGCCGGGUUCCGGCUCGGCUUUCAACGCGACCCCAGGUCAGGCGGGGUUACCCGCUGAAUUUAAGCAUAUCAAUAAGCGGAGGA
rnacentral:misc_RNA from 1 species